UUGUUUUAUGGUACUUAGCUGUAUUUUUUAAGUUAUGAAGGUUUAAAUCAAAACAAACCAACUGCAGUUGAAUUGAUAUUAAUUGGAAUGCACAACCAAAAAACGAGAUUUCUGAACAAUUAAAAAAACGUUGGUUAUCUCGUUUUGCAACGAAACUCUUCAAAUAUAUUUUACAUUUUUGUCUAGUGAGCAAUAAAAUAAUCAAAUAACACAUACAGACAGCUACGUACAUUAAAGGUACCACAGUAAUGCUAUGGGCUCUUGUGAUUUGGGCCAGUAAACACUUUGAAUAUCCCUAACCAUCAACACUAUCUUCUAUGCAGCAAUUUUGUCAAAUCAACAUAUAGUUUUAUAUUACUUAACUUGAAAAAUUAAGUUAAACAUUUUUAAUACAGUUUUAGUAUAUUUUAGCAACCAUAAAGCAAACCCUAACAUCAUGUUUCAUCUUUUAUUCAUUUGAAAAUAAUAAUGUUUGUGCAGGUUUUGUUGUAUUUUGUUUUUGUCUUUCUUUUCAUCUUUUCAAACAGUGUUGAGCAAUGAACAAUCCAAAGGGGCUGAAGGGACUUAACCAAAAACCCACCAAAAGAAAGAUUAUCGUGUCAACCACAAAGGUCCGCAGCCUAAUACUGACUGCCAAAUAACCAUUACAAGUCAAAGGUUUAAAGUCCUUGCAUGGCUGUAGUUCUGUCAAUACCUCUAAUACCUUGUUUUUGCCAAAGUAACCACUCUUGACCUCUGGAUUAACCGGUCUAUGGGUUCAAACGGGAUAUUUGCUAUUUUAUUGAGCAUUUUGUUUAACAAAACAUGUUCUAGUUCAAAUAUUUGUAAGGUCAUUUAUGCAGUGAUCUAUCAGACAGAAUGCUACCAGACAGGACUGUCUUAUCUACAAUGUGUAUGAUGUCAUUUAUAUCAUUCAAACUUGAAAAAAGUGACUUUGAGAUGGGACUGCUAAGGUGGAAUGUGGCCUCUGAACUGAAAAAUAAAAACUAUAAACUCUAUGUCUGCCCAUAUAAUGAUUAUGUGGACAUCACACCAACAAAACCAAGCCAUUUGACAGCUCUGAAGGUUUGCGUCAGAAGACAUGAUCAUGGCUCUGACAGAUGCACCAAUGAGUACAGUUUCCAAAAGAAAGAUGUUUUCAUAAACAACAAAAUGGGAUUACUAUCAUUGAACAAGUCUGUAAACACAGCUAAAAUACCAAAUACCAAUUUUCUUUUAGUUUAUCUGGUUUUGAAAAUACAAUCUGAGCAUAUAAUGAAAUGAUUUUUCAUAAAAGCAUUUGUCUGGUUAUUAUGUGUUGUGUGAUUAUGUAUAUGGACAUACAGUAAAGGCUACUGUUAUUGGGCUCCAUAAGCAGUACACCCUGCAAAUAACUCGUAGAUGUUCUCUACAUUUGUUCGGAUAGUGAAAUAAAUUACUGAAAUUCUGCUACCUCAAAGGUCCAAUGUUGUAUUACAACAUUUCCAUAAAAA